UGGGGAAUAUUGCACAAUGGGCGCAAGCCUGAUGCAGCCAUGCCGCGUGUAUGAAGAAGGCCUUCGGGUUGUAAAGUACUUUCAGCGGGGAGGAAGGGAGUAAAGUUAAUACCUUUGCUCAUUGACGUUACCCGCAGAAGAAGCACCGGCUAACUCCGUGCCAGCAGCCGCGGUAAUACGGAGGGUGCAAGCGUUAAUCGGAAUUACUGGGCGUAAAGCGCACGCAGGCGGUUUGUUAAGUCAGAUGUGAAAUCCCCGGGCUCAACCUGGGAACUGCAUCUGAUACUGUCAAGCUUGAGUGUCGUAGAGGGGGGUAGAAUUCCAGGUGUAGCGGUGAAAUGCGUAGAGAUCUGGAGGAAUACCGGUGGCGAAGGCGGCCCCCUGGACGAAGACUGACGCUCAGGUGCGAAAGCGUGGGGAGCAAACAGG
rnacentral:rRNA from 1 species